rnacentral:lncRNA from 1 species
AGGCUUUGGUUCGGGUUUGGGUUCUGGUUUAGGCAUCGGUUCAGGCUUGGGCUCGGGUUUUGGUUCAGGUUUAGGCAUGGGCUUAGGCAUGGGCUCAGGCUUUGGUUCUGGUUUAGGCAUUGGCUUAGGCUUGGGUUCGGGUUUUGGCUCUGGUUUGGGCAUUGGCUCAGGCUUGGGUUCUGGUUUAGGCAUGGGCUCAGGCUUUGGUUCCGGUUUAAUUGGCUCAGGCUUCGGUUCCGGCUUAGGCAUUGGCUCGGGCUUGGGCUCAGGUUUUGGCUCAGGUUUAGGCAUUGGCUCGGGUUUGGGCUCAGGUUUAGGCUCAGGUUUAGGCACUGGCUCAGGCUUAGGCUCGGGUUUAGGCUCAGGUUUAGGCACUGGCUUAGGCAUGGGCUCGGGUUUUGGUUCCGGUUUAGGCAUUGGCUCAGGUUUGGGCUCGGGUUUAGGCUCGGGUUUAGGCAUUGGCUUAGGCAUGGGCUCGGGUUUUGGUUCCGGUUUGGGCAUGGGCUCUGGUUUUGGCUCGGGUUUUGGCAUUGGCUUAGGCAUGGGCUCUGGUUUUGGUUCCGGUUUAGGCAUCGGCUCAGGUUUCGGCUCUGGUUUAGGCAUUGGUUUGGGCAUUGGUUCCGGCUUGGGCUCUGGCUUCGGCUCGGGCUUGGGCAUGGGUUCAGGUUUGGGCUCAGGUUUCGGUCCCGGUUUGGGCAUUGGUUCUGGCUUCGGCUCAGGUUUCGGUUCAGGUUUAGGCAUGGGUUCAGGUUUCGGUUCAGGUUUUGGCUCUGGUUUUGGCAUGGGCUUGGGCUCCGGUUUUGGCAUGGGUUUUGGUUCCGGCUUUGGCUCUGGCUGCGGCAUAGGCUUAGGCUCCGGCUCGAC